rnacentral:other from 1 species
CUCGGGACACAGUGUCCCGGCACCGAACAAAGGAAAUCAUCAUGGCUCAGGGCACCGUCAAGUGGUUCAACGCUGACAAGGGCUUCGGCUUCAUCGCGCAGGACGGUGGCGGCGAGGACGUGUUCGUCCACUUCUCCGCCAUCCAGACCAACGGCUACAAGUCGCUCGACGAGAACCAGAAGGUCGAGUUCGACGUCACCGCCGGCCCCAAGGGCCCGCAGGCCGAGAACGUCCGCGUCUCCUGAUUCACCACGAAGGGCCCCGAUCGCUGCUGCGGUCGGGGCCCUU